rnacentral:tRNA from 1 species
GUCAGCAUGGUGUAGUGGUCUGAACGUUGGACUAUGGCUCAGGAGCCCAGGUUUCGAUUCCCUGCUCAGGCA